CGCACAGAGGAUCCACUCAUUUUAUUUCUGACCACGAUCAGACUUCACAGAAGCUCUGUGGACUCAAACAGAAUACAACAGGUGAGGCAGGUGGAUGAUCAUGGAGGCACAACGAGGUCUAUCAGGCAAAUCCAACCACGUCAGCCUGCAGCAGGUGGAGGACGUCCAAGCAGCUGUGCUGCUGUCCAGGAACACGAUCCUGCUGCUCCAUGGAAACAGGUUUAAUGGUGCCAGAGCUUCUAUCAGAGGCUUCAGACAGAAGGUGAAGCAGUUUGUUUGCAUGAACACAGAUUUAG